rnacentral:rRNA from 1 species
GCCGUAGAAUCGUCGAAAGUCUGAUGUGAAAGCCUUCGGCUCAACCGAAGAAGUGCAUCGGAAACUGGGAAACUUGAGUGCAGAAGAGGACAGUGGAACUCCAUGUGUAGCGGUGAAAUGCGUAGAUAUAUGGAAGAACACCAGUGGCGAAGGCGGCUGUCUGGUCUGUAACUGACGCUGAGGCUCGAAAGUAUGGGUAGCAAACAGGAUUAGAUACCCUGGUAGUCCAUACCGUAAACGAUGAAUGCUAAGUGUUGGAGGGUUUCCGCCCUUCAGUGCUGCAGCUAACGCAUUAAGCAUUCCGCCUGGGGAGUACGGCCGCAAGGCUGAAACUCAAAGGAAUUGACGGGGGCCCGCACAAGCGGUGGAGCAUGUGGUUUAAUUCGAAGCUACGCGAAGAACCUUACCAGGUCUUGACAUACUAUGCAAAUCUAAGAGAUUAGACGUUCCCUUCGGGGACAUGGAUACAGGUGGUGCAUGGUUGUCGUCAGCUCGUGUCGUGAGAUGUUGGGUUAAGUCCCGCAACGAGCGCAACCCUUAUUAUCAGUUGCCAGCAUUAAGUUGGGCACUCUGGUGAGACUGCCGGUGACAAACCGGAGGAAGGUGGGGAUGACGUCAAAUCAUCAUGCCCCUUAUGACCUGGGCUACACACGUGCUACAAUGGAUGGUACAACGAGUUGCGAACUCGCGAGAGUAAGCUAAUCUCUUAAAGCCAUUCUCAGUUCGGAUUGUAGGCUGCAACUCGCCUACAUGAAGUCGGAAUCGCUAGUAAUCGCGGAUCAGCAUGCCGCGGUGAAUACGUUCCCGGGCCUUGUACACACCGCCCGUCACACCAUGAGAGUUUGUAACACCCAAAGUCGGUGGGGUAACCUUUUAGGAACCAGCCGCCUAAGGUGGGACAGAUGAUUAGGGUG